AUCAAAACAGUGAGGGGAAGGCCAGUGCUGCUGUACAACAACUAUAGAUGCUGAAAUUUAUAUGACUCGUCGAGGAUAUUGGGUUCUUAUGUUAGGUGGCUACAAGUAUACGAUGAAUAAUUCGUUUGGCCAGAAGAGGACAUGGCGAUGCUCGAAGAAUAGUUACAGAGGAUGCAAGGCAACCGCUGUCACGUUCAGUAACGAUGUGAUAGCACAGAAAAAUGAACACAACCACCCCCCGGGGGACCAUCAUUGUAAAGAUUAAUAUAAUAUUUAAUAAUAAA